UGGGGAAUAUUGCACAAUGGGCGCAAGCCUGAUGCAGCCAUGCCGCGUGUAUGAAGAAGGCCUUCGGGUUGUAAAGUACUUUCAGCGGGGAGGAAGGCGAUAAGGUUAAUAACCUUGUCGAUUGACGUUACCCGCAGAAGAAGCACCGGCUAACUCCGUGCCAGCAGCCGCGGUAAUACGGAGGGUGCAAGCGUUAAUCGGAAUUACUGGGCGUAAAGCGCACGCAGGCGGUCUGGCAAGUCGGAUGUGAAAUCCCCGGGCUCAACCUGGGAACUGCAUUCGAAACUGGCAGGCUAGAGUCUUGUAGAGGGGGGUAGAAUUCCAGGUGUAGCGGUGAAAUGCGUAGAGAUCUGGAGGAAUACCGGUGGCGAAGGCGGCCCCCUGGACAAAGACUGACGCUCAGGUGCGAAAGCGUGGGGAGCAAACA
rnacentral:rRNA from 1 species